UACGGAGGGUGCGAGCGUUGUCCGGAAUCACUGGGCGUAAAGGGCGCGUAGGCGGCCUGAUAAGUAGGGGGUGAAAUCUUGCGGCUUAACCGCAAGGCUGCCUUCUAAACUGUCAGGCUAGAGCACAGUAGAGGCAGGUGGAAUUCCCGGUGUAGCGGAUGGAAUGCGUAGAGAUCGGGAAGAACAUCAGUGGCGAAGGCGGCCUGCUGGGCUGUGCUGACGCUGAGG
rnacentral:rRNA from 1 species